rnacentral:lncRNA from 1 species
CUGUGUCCCGCGGCUGCUUAACGGCGAAAGCUUCCUAUUUGUAACCCGAACCGUCUGAGCUACUGGGCAUGCCCAGUCCCACCACUGGAAAGAGUGGGCAGAGAAGAGAGAGCUUUGAUUCUGACAUGAGAGUCAAAUUUCAAAAUGCAAAGAACGAAGUGUUUAAAAAAUGCCUGGUGAUGCCCCCCCAGUACCGCCAGCUGCUGAGUGACCAUGGGCCACUAUCCAUAGGCUACACCCAGGGAGCUGGGAACAGCCAGGAGCCCCAGUGAAGAGUUGGGGAGAGAUCAACCCUGCCUACGUGGAGUAAGAACAGAAUAAAGAGACUAAAUCGAGGCAUUAUUCACUCUAGAAAGCUGGUAAG